rnacentral:rRNA from 1 species
GACGAGGGGUCCAAGCGUUGUUCGGAAUCAUUGGGCGUAAAGCGGGUGUAGGCGGCUCUAUAAGUCAGAAGUGAAAGCCCCAGGCUUAACCUGGGAAGUGCUUUUGAUACUGCAGAGCUUGAAUGUGGGAGAGGGUAGUGGAAUUCCAGGUGUAGUGGUGAAAUACGUAGAUAUCUGGAGGAACGCCGGUGGCGAAGGCGGCUACCUGGCCCAACAUUGACGCUGAGACCCGAAAGCAUGGGGAUCAAACAGG